GUGCCUGUAGUUCAGGGGUAGAGCGCAAGAUUGUGGAUCUUGUUGUCGCGGGUUCAAAUCCCGUCAGGCACCCUA
rnacentral:tRNA from 1 species